GAUGAACGCUGGCGGCGUGCCUAAUACAUGCAAGUCGAGCGAACAGACGAGGAGCUUGCUCCUCUGACGUUAGCGGCGGACGGGUGAGUAACACGUGGAUAACCUACCUAUAAGACUGGGAUAACUUCGGGAAACCGGAGCUAAUACCGGAUAAUAUAUUGAACCGCAUGGUUCAAUAGUGAAAGACGGUUUUGCUGUCACUUAUAGAUGGAUCCGCGCCGCAUUAGCUAGUUGGUAAGGUAACGGCUUACCAAGGCAACGAUGCGUAGCCGACCUGAGAGGGUGAUCGGCCAAACCGGAACUGGGACACGGUCCAGACUCCUACGGGAGGCAGCAAUAGGGUAUCUUCCGCAAUGGGCGAAAGCCUGACGGAGCAACGCGGCGGGAGUGAGGAGAGUGUGCGAAACGGAAAACUCUGUUAUUAGGGAAGAACAAAUGUGUAAGUAACUAUGCACGUCUUGACGGUACCUAUUCAGAAAGCCACGGCUAACUACGUG
rnacentral:rRNA from 1 species